rnacentral:rRNA from 1 species
UACGGGGGGAGCAAGCGUUGUUCGGAAUUACUGGGCGUAAGGCGCGCGUAGGCGGCUUUGCAAGUCGGGUGUGAAAUCCCCAGGCUUAACCUGGGAACUGCAUUCGAGACUGCAUUGCUAGAGUAUGGGAGAGGGAAGUGGAAUUUCCGGUGUAGCGGUGAAAUGCGUAGAUAUCGGAAGGAACAUCAGUGGCGAAAGCGACUUCCUGGACCAAUACUGACGCUCAUGUGCGAAAGCGUGGGGAGCAAACAGG